AUAGCGUAUACUAAAGUUGUUGUGGUUAAAAAGCUCGUAGUUGGAUCUCAGUUCGAGUCGGCCGGUCCACUUGCCAGUGGUACUGGUCGGCUGAACACUUUACCGACUCUGUCUACAGUGCUCUUAAUCGAGUGUUGUAGGCGAUCGGUACGUUUACUUUGAAAAAAUUAGAGUGCUCAAAGCAGGCUUGCAAAGCCCGAAUAAUGUUGCAUGGAAUAAUGGAAUAGGACCUCGGUUCUAUUUUGUUGGUCUUCGGAAUUCCGAGGUAAUGAUUAAGAGGGACAGACGGGGGCAUUCGUAUUGCGACGCUAGAGGUGAAAUUCUUGGACCGUUGCAAGACGAA
rnacentral:rRNA from 1 species